AGGUAGAAGUUGGCGAAGAAUGCGAUUCACAAGUUCUCGAUGUGGUUCAAAAGUUGAAGACUCACUUCAGCAGUCCACGUCUCCACUCUUCCUAACCUGUGCCUAUAUGUUUUAAUAAAUAUCCGGUAAAGCCGUCUUUUCAGAGAGCUCAUACGAGAGAACCAUUCUGCCGAUUAAUCCCUAGUAACUCAGCUUUGGCAUAAUCUAGUGUUAUUCACAAGCUGAGUACUGUCUCAUACUUUCCUGUAUCUUCAUGAAAGUCUUUGUACUGUGAUCUAAGCCAAAUCCCUAGAAAAUUAGCUCCCUACUGUGAUCUAAGCCAAAUCUGCCGAAAAUUAGCUCCCUAAUGUGCCAAAUCCUGAUUGUUUUCAUUUAUCCUACUGAUUGCAGUCGACAUUAGAGGCACAGCAAAAAGAGAGAUUUUUCUCUAGUCUAAGGCGGCGCUAGGGUUCCUGGUGUUUCGUUCCUACAGUGAACCUGCUUCUCAUCCAACCUUGUACUAUGUUGCAAGGCAAUGUUUUAGUAUGGAAUUGCAGGGGUGUUGUGUGCAACGAGACCCAACGAGCCCUUAUUGAUCUGGUUCAAUUAAAGAAGCCAAAUCUGAUCAUUUUGGCGAAGACCCUUGCUCAGCCAUCUCAUAUUGCCUCUCUUGCGAACAGGCUUGGUUUUGCAGGACAUAUAUGCUACCCUCAUGAGGAUGGAUCCCAGGGAUUGGCGCUGCUUUGGAGUAGUGAAAUUCAUGUUGAUCUCAGAACGAAAUCCCCUCAUCAUAUAGAUGUUGAGAUUAGUGAUCCGGGUAAACAGGAGAAGUAUCGCUUCACAGGAUUGUAUGGCUUUGCAGCCAGAGGUGAACGUAGCAGAACUUGGGACUUAAUUCGUGCCCUAGCUGCAGAAGUUUGUCAUCUACCUUGGCUCAUGGUAGGUGACUUCAACGAGGUUACGUGUCUAGCAGACAAAUCCGGAGAUCCCCUCAUGCUGUUGCUCCUAUGGCGGCAUUCCGACAACGAUGAUUGACUGCGGCUUCAUCGACAUGGGUUUCUUGGGUAGUAGGUAUACUUGGUCCAACAAGUUUACCAAGGAAAGGCUGGAUAGAAGCUUUCAGUCAGUUUCCUUUCGAACCAUGUUUCCUAAUAGCAAAACGGUGGUGUUGCCACCCAAUGAAUCAAACCAUUGUCCCAUUGUAGUGGAACUGAGAACUGAUAGAAAUAGGUUUAGAACACCUUGGCGCAGAUUCAGAUUUGAGGAGAUAUGGCACGAAAAUGAACAAUGUUCUGACAUUAUUCUAAAGAAUUGGGCAAUCCCUAUGGUAGGCAACAUGCUACAGCAGGUUGGUCGAAAGAUUUUGGCCACUGGAAAACAACUUAUGAAGUGGCACACCACUGAGUUUGAGAGGCAGAAAGUGGAAUUGAGGGAGAUUCGGGAGAAAUUGGCGGAUAUAAUGCGGCAACCUUUUGCUCCAGAAUAGUAUGAGGAGCAACAUCUCCUUCAUGUAAGACACAGUCAAUUGCUUUCUCAGCAAGAAAAAUAUUGGAGACAACGAUCUAGGGCGGUCUGGCUAAAGGAGGGUGACAGAAACUCGGCUUUCUUUCAUCGAAAGGCCACUAACAGGAGGUGUAAAAAUUGCAUCAGAGGGCUUGUGAAUGAUGUGGGUAUUUGGCAAACUGAUCCUACUGUUGUUCAAGGCAUGUUGGUUGAUUAUUAUAAAACUGUUUUUUUCACUGAGGGAACGGAUGAUAGUGCACUCUCCACUAUUUUUUGCGCCACCCCAAUGAAAGUGUUACCUCAUAUGAAUGAUGAUUUACUGCAGCCCUAUACAGAUGAUGAAAUCAAGCAUGCAUUAUUUCAAAUGCAUCCUUCUAAAAGCCCGAGGCCUGAUGGUAUGUCUCAUUUCUUCUAUCAAAAAUAUUGGCAUAUUGUUGGUUUUGAUGUUUGUGUUGCAAUUCAAAAUUUUUGGAAAAAGGAGAUAUUUGGGCAGCUUCCAACUUCACUCAUCUUUGCCUUAUUCCGAAAGUCAAGAAUCCCACUGUUGCCUCUCAUUUUAGACCUAUUGCACUCUGUAAUGUUCUGUACAGAAUAAGUUCCAAGGUCAUUGCCAACAGGUUAAAGAAGUGGUUAGCUGAGAUUAUUUCUCCCCUACAAAGUGCGUAUGUCCCAGGACGAUUGAUAUCAGACAACACUUUGGUUGCAACUGAGGCUGCACACUUUAUGUAUAAACUACGGACUCCAAAAUGAAGGCUUCUUCUCUCUCAAGUUAGACAUCUCAAAAGCAUAUGACCGGCUAGAAUGGACCUCCUUGCGAACUAUGUUAACCAAGUUGGGUUUUGAUGUGAGGUGGAUCAAUAUAAUUAUGAAAUGUGUGGAGUCUGUUACCUAUGCCAUCCUGGUUAAUGGUGAACAAACUGAGAUAAUUACUCCGACUCAUGGGAUAAGGCAGGGUGAUCCACUCUCUCCAUACCUAUUCAUCUUAUGUGCUGAAGGGCUUUCAGCUCUUCUUUCUCAAGUAGUUGAUGCAGGUGCUAUUUAAGGUUUAAAGAUGUGUCCUGAAGCCCUACACUACAUCAUUUGUUCUUCGCGGAUGAUAGUUUUCUUUUUGGAGCUGCAACGAUUCACGAAUGUUAGACUAUUUGUGAAAUUGUCAAUAUCUAUGAAAAAGCUUCGAGAUAGAAGAUUAAUUUUCAGAAAA